UACGUAGGGACCGAGCGUUGUCCGGAAUCAUUGGGCGUAAAGAGCGUGUAGGCGGCCACUUAAGUCCUGCGUGAAAUCUUGCGGCUCAACCGCAAGCGGUCGUGGGAAACUGGGUGGCUAGAGUGCGGGAGAGGAGAGUGGAAUUCCUGGAUGUAGCGGUGGGAAUGGCGCAGAUAUCAGGAAGAACACCCGUGGCGAAGGCGGCUCUCUGGAACGCAACUGACGCUGAGACGCGAAAGCGUGGGGAGCAAACAGG
rnacentral:rRNA from 1 species